AUGAGAACCCCUCUACCAGCACUGCAGGACAUCUACACUGAAAGGUGCAGAUCCCGGGCCAUCAGGAUCACCAGUGUGAAGGCUCAGAUUGUACUGACUGAGUCUGAACCAGUGGUGAAGAGACCAGGAGAAUCACAUAAACUGACAUGUACAGCCUCUGGGUUCAUAUUUAGUGACUAUUUUAUGAGCUGGAUCAGACAGGCUCCUGGGAAGGGCCUGGAGUGGAUCGCUCGCAUUGACCCUGAAGAUGAUAGCACUCGCUACUCCCAGACUUUUCAGGGCAGAUUCACCAUCUCUUGUGACAACAGCAAGAACCAGGUGUAUUUACAGAUGAACAGCCUGAAAGCUGAAGACACGGCUGUGUACUACUGUGCCAGGGACUCACAUUGGAUCAGCACUGAUGGUGGUAGCACUCGCUACUCCCAGUCUGUUCAGGGCAGAUUCACCAUCUCCAGAGAUGACAGUAAGAACCAGCUGUAUUUACAGAUGAACAGCCUGAAAGCUGAAGACACGGCUGUGUACUACUGUGCCAGAGACUCACAGUGAUGGGGGCUGUGGGGAAGCCGUACAAAUACUACUUCCUCACAGAGAAUAAGGAUGUCACAUUAUUAUUUAAUUUGUUAUGUUUUAUUAUAAUAAUAUUUAGAAUCUUUUGCUCCUCUU